rnacentral:rRNA from 1 species
UGCAAGUCGAACGGAGCACCCUUGAUUGAGGUUUCGGCCAAAUGAUAGGAAUGCUUAGUGGCGGACUGGUGAGUAACGCGUGAGGAACCUGCCUUUCAGAGGGGGACAACAGUUGGAAACGACUGCUAAUACCGCAUGACGCAUUUUGAUCGCAUGGUCGAAAUGCCAAAGAUUUAUCGCUUCAAGAUGGCCUCGCGUCUGAUUAGCUAGUUGGCGGGGUAACGGCCCACCAAGGCGACGAUCAGUAGCCGGACUGAGAGGUUGAACGGCCACAUUGGGACUGAGAUACGGCCCAGACUCCUACGGGAGGCAGCAGUGGGGAAUAUUGGGCAAUGGGCGCAAGCCUGACCCAGCAACGCCGCGUGAAGGAAGAAGGCUUUCGGGUUGUAAACUUCUUUUAAGAGGGAAGAGCAGAAGACGGUACCUCUAGAAUAAGCCACGGCUAACUACGUGCCAGCAGCCGCGGUAAUACGUAGGUGGCAAGCGUUGUCCGGAUUUACUGGGUGU